GGUAGGCCACUUCGGUGGUACACGAGCGGCGGACGGCUGAGUAACGCGUAGGAACGUACCCCAAACUGAGGGAUAAGCACCAGAAAUGGUGUCUAAUACCGCAUGUGCUCUAAGGAGUAAAGCUUCGGCGGUUUGGGAACGGCCUGCGUAUGAUUAGCUUGUUGGUGAGGUAAUGGCUCACCAAGGCGACGAUCAUUAGCUGGUCUGAGAGGAUGAUCAGCCAGACUGGGACUGAGACACGGCCCAGACUCCUACGGGAGGCAGCAGUAGGGAAUUUUCCACAAUGGACGAAAGUCUGAUGGAGCAACGCCGCGUGCAGGAUGAAGGCCUUCGGGUUGUAAACUGCUUUUUUCUGUGAUGAUUAUGACAGUAGCAGACGAAUAAGGAUCGGCUAACUCCGUGCCAGCAGCCGCGGUCAUACGGAGGAUCCAAGCGUUAUCCGGAAUUACUGGGCGUAAAGAGUUGCGUAGGCGGCAUUGUAAGUAGGUAGUGAAAUCCUGGGGCUCAACCCCUUCAACAUUAUCUAAACUGCAAAGCUAGAAUAUAGAAGAGGUAGCUGGAAUUCCUAGUGUAGGAGUGAAAUCCGUAGAUAUUAGGAGGAACACCAAUGGCGUAGGCAGGCUACUGGUCUAUUAUUGACGCUAAGGCACGAAAGCGUGGGGAGCGAACGGGAUUAGAUACCCCGGCAGUCCACGCCGUAAACUAUGGAUGCUAGCUGUUAGGAGUAUCGACCCUUCUAGUAGCGAAGCUAACGCGUUAAGCAUCCCGCCUGUGGAGUACGAGCGCAAGCUUAAAACAUAAAGGAAUUGACGGGGACCCGCACAAGCGGUGGAGCGUGUUGUUUAAUUCGAUGGUAAGCGAAGACCCUUACCCAGGCUUGACAUCCUGCGAAUCUUGCCGAA
rnacentral:rRNA from 1 species